rnacentral:rRNA from 1 species
AUUGAACGCUGGCGGCAGGCCUAACACAUGCAAGUCGAACGAGUGGCGGACGGGUGAGUAAUGUCUGGGAAUCUGCCUGAUGGAGGGGGAUAACUACUGGAAACGGUAGCUACUACCGCAUACCAGCGGAUGUGCCCAGUUGGGAUUAUCUAUUAGGUGGGGUAAAGGCUCACCUCGGCGACGAUCCCUAGCUGGUCUGAGAGGAUGCGCAGCCACACUGGAACUGAGACACGGUCCAGACUCCUACGGGAGGCAGCAGUGGGGAAUAUUGCACAAUGGGCGCAAGCCUGAUGCAGCCAUGCCGCGUGUAUGAAGAAGGCCUUCGGGUUGUAAAGUACUUUCAGCGGGGAGGCGUUACCCGCAGAAUAAGCACCGGCUAACUCCGUGCCAGCAGCCGCGGUAAUAC